GGGCCCGCACAAGCGGUGGAGCAUGUGGUUUAAUUCGAUGGUACGCGAGGAACCUUACCUGGGUUUGACAUACACACUGAUUAUCAAGAGAUUGGUAAGCGUAGCAAUACGAGUGUGAACAGGUGCUGCAUGGCUGUCGUCAGCUCGUGCCGUGAGGUGUUGGGUUAAGUCCUGCAACGAGCGCAACCCCUACUGCCAGUUACUAACAGGUGAAGCUGAGGACUCAGGCGGAACUGCCGGCGACAAGCCGGAGGAAGGCGGGGAUGACGUCAAGUCAUCAUGGCCCUUAUGUCCAGGGCUACACACGUGCUACAAUGGUUGGUACAGAGUGAAGCGAAGCGGCGACGCGGAGCAAAACGCAGAAAACCAAUCGUAGUUCGGAUUGGAGUCUGAAACUCGACUCCAUGAAGUUGGAAUCGCUAGUAAUCGCAUAUCAGCACGGUGCGGUGAAUACGUUCCCGGGCCUU
rnacentral:rRNA from 1 species